ACCGUUCCAAAAUCCCUUCGACCCCGUUUCCCUUUUUCUCGUUUGUUUUACUCGACAGUCUUUCUCCCGGUUCUAUUGCGUCUGGUAGGAAGCUUUUUAUUUUUGUCAGUCCCAGGCUUUCUAUCUGCCAUCGCAGAUUGCUUUUGAAGUUUGUUUGUCUCGUUUCCAAUUUGUUUUGGCUAUAUACCCGUUUCCUUCUUCCUCCUCUUUCGUUCUAUCUCGCGCUCUCGCUCUUCAUUAUUGUUUCUGUUCUGAUUUGUUUUUUUUUGUUUUCUCUCCAUGGCCGAUAUGCCGUUCCGGGAAGAACUGCUUGGCGAUUCAAGGUUAGGGUCGCUGGGAUAUGGGAAGUAACUGGUUUGAUUUCCUUUUCUUCAAUUCUGCUUUUUCAUUUAUAGUUGUUCUGACUUUGUNNNNNNNNNNNNNNNNNNGUUGAUUGGCUUGGACUGCAUCAUCAAGGUUUGUAUUGUUAUUGCAAACUUUAUCUUUGGUUUAUUCUUUUUUGUUUUUCAAUAGAUUUUGUGUGUUUUUAUUUUUUGGUCCUUUAAUUGAACUGUUCAAUUUUGAUUUUUUUUUUCUUUUGCAGGGUUUGAUUUUGUUUGUUUCAUUUCAAGGUUUGAACUUGUUUCUUGUUUUAUUUGUUAUCCUAUAUUGUAUAUUUGGUGUAUUGUUUCUUUUUCAUCUAACAAUGGAGCUAUUUUUGGAACUGUAUAAGUAUAAAGGUAUGUAUAUGCAU
rnacentral:lncRNA from 1 species